AACAAAUAAGACCUAAGCAACACCUAACAUAAUUUUUGUUCAUCUCAUUCUCUCCCUCAAGCGACGCACAGCAAACACAGAGAUACAAGAACAGUAUCAAUGGCUUCACAACAGUGCUCACUCGCCAUGAAGCAUCAAAACUAUCUGAAUAGGAGGAAGUGGUGUCUGUGUUUCGAAGCAAGCCAGGAAAGUACUCUUUGCAGACUAUAAGAUCAUGGGAAUUUGUAGGUUUAGAAGAUGGGGAGAAGUCGAACAAAUUAAAGAAAGAUGACUUCUGGUUCAAAGCCAGAUAUGGAAAAGAAGUCGUUGUUGGCCUCUUGGAUAGUGACUUAUUCUGGAAUUAUUCUCAUCGCCAUUAAUCCAUUCCAAAGACUUCCUCAUACGUAUGAUGAUCACAUGAUGGAACCAUACAAGGGAGCACCAUUUGGACGAUUGAGUCCUCAUGUUUUUGCAAUUGCUGAUGUUACUUUUAGGGAAAUGAUCUAUAAUGGAAAAAGCAACUCCAUUCUGGUCAGUGGUGAAAGUGGGGCUGGUAAGACAGAAACUACCAAGAUGCUUAUGCGCUACCUUGCCUAUUUGGGUGGUCGUAAAGGCAUUGAAGGAAGGACGGUUGAGCAACAAGUUCUAGAAUCAAAUCUAGUUCUUGAAGCAUUUGGCAAUGCAAAAACUGUUCGAAAUAACAAUUCUAGCCGCUUUGGUAAAUUUGUUGAGCUUCAAUUUGAUAAGCAUGGUAAAAUUUCAGGAGCAACCAUUAGAACUUACCUUCUUGAGAGAUCUCGUGUUCGCCAAAUUUCAAACACAGAACGCAACUAUCAUUGAUUUUACCUUCUUUGUGCAGCACCACCAGAGGAGGAUCUCAUCAGGAACUUAAGAAAUUUAAGUUAGGAAGUCCUAAAAUGUUUCGCUAUCUGAAUCAAAUCAAAUUGCUAUGAACUUGUUGGUGUAAGUGAUGCUCAUGAUUAUCUCGUCACUAGGAGAGCCAUGGAUAUUGUUGGAGUCAGUCAGCAAGAACAUGUAUUGCCUUGAAUCCAAAAAUAUUUCUGCUGCAUCCAUUUUAGCUCAAUAAAAUAAAAUUGGGAAUAACUUCUCUGUUUCUUUCAGGAUGCAAUUUUCAGAGUUGUGGCUGCAAUUCUUCAUCUAGGUAGCAUUGAAUUUGCCAAAGGAAUAGAAAUUGAUUAAUCUAUUCUGAAAGAUGACAAAUCAAAAUUUCAUCUUCAAACGAUAGCAGAACUUCUAAUGUGUGAUACUGUUGCACUUGAAGAUGCACUACUAAAGCAGAUUGGCAAUGGUGGAAAACAAUUCGGGCGGCAUCAGAAGAUUUGAUUUUGUGUUUUUGAAAAUAUUUUGACGUAUGAUUUUGGUAAAUGAUUUAUGGAUUAAAUGUUUAGCAUCAAAAUAUUUGGUUUUGUAUUUUUAAAAAUAUUUUGACAUAGGAUUUGGUAAUAUAUUUAUGGGUUUGACGUUAGUAGUUUGUAAGUACUUUGGUAUGCAUGUUUUAGAUUGUCAGAGAAUUGCAAUUAUGUUUAUUGGAAUUUUUCAUAGCUAUUAAUUUUGAAGUAGUAUGAAUGUCUUGCACAUGUGUAUUAUUAUUUACAUUACAUUUGUGUAUAUAUUGUGCACAGGAAAACAAGUGUUUCGGAUUAUUUUGAACAGAAAAAUU